rnacentral:rRNA from 1 species
UACGAAGGGGGCUAGCGUUGCUCGGAAUUACUGGGCGUAAAGCGCACGUAGGCGGCUUUCUAAGUCGGGGGUGAAAUCCUGGAGCUCAACUCCAGAACUGCCUUCGAUACUGGAGAGCUUGAGUCCGGGAGAGGUGAGUGGAACUGCGAGUGUAGAGGUGAAAUUCGUAGAUAUUCGCAAGAACACCAGUGGCGAAGGCGGCUCACUGGCCCGGUACUGACGCUGAGGUGCGAAAAGCGUGGGGAGCAAAC